rnacentral:rRNA from 1 species
CGAACGGGUGAGUAAUGUAUCGCUAACGUGCCCUCCUGUCCGGGAUAGCCGUGGGAAACCGCGGGUAAUACCGGGUGACAUCACUGCCGGGCAUCCGGGAGUGCUCAAAGGGAAACCGCAGGUGGAGCGGGCGAUAUCGUAUCAGCUAGUUGGUGCGGGUAACGGCCCACCAAGGCGACGACGCGUAGCCGGGCUGAGAGGUCGGCCGGCCACAUUGGGACUGAGACACUGCCCAG